UACGUAGGAGGCGAGCGUUGUCCGGAAUCACUGGGCGUAAAGCGCGUGUAGGCGGAUGACUAAGUUUGCUGUGAAAGCGCCUGGCUUAACCAGGCGAGGUCGGCGAAAACUAGUCGUCUGGAGGCCGGUAGAGGGGGGUGGAAUUCCGGGUGUAGUGGUGAAAUGCGUAGAGAUCCGGAGGAACACCCGUGGCGCAGGCGGCCCCCUGGGCCGCGCCUGACGCUGAGACGCGAAAGCGCGGGGAGCGAACGGG
rnacentral:rRNA from 1 species